CCUACGGGCGGCAGCAGUAGGGAAUCUUCCACAAUGGGCGAAAGCCUGAUGGAGCAACGCCGCGUGGGUGAAGAAGGUCUUCGGAUCGUAAAACCCUGUUGUUAGAGAAGAAAGUGCGUGAGAGUAACUGUUCACGUUUCGACGGUAUCUAACCAGAAAGCCACGGCUAACUACGUGCCAGCAGCCGCGGUAAUACGUAGGGGGCAAGCGUUAUCCGGAUUUAUUGGGCGUAAAGGGAGCGCAGGCGGUCUUGUAAGUCUGAUGUGAAAGCCUUCGGCUUAACCGGAGUAGUGCAUUGGAAACUGGGAGGCUUGAGUGCAGAAGAGGUGAGUGGAACUCCAUGUGUAGCGGUGAAAUGCGUAGAUAUAUGGAAGAACACCAGUGGCGAAAGCGGCUCUCUGGUCUGUAACUGACGCUGAGGUUCGAAAGCGUGGGUAGCAAACAGGAUUAGAUACCCGGGUAGUC
rnacentral:rRNA from 1 species